rnacentral:rRNA from 1 species
GUCUACCCCCAUACCACCCUGAACGUGCCUGAUCUCGUCUGAUCUCAGAAGCUAAACAGGAUUGGGCCUGGUUAGUACUUGGAUGGGAGGAAUGAUCCUUCUGAGAACUCUAACGGAUGUGUUAU